rnacentral:lncRNA from 10 species
CAAAUGGUCUGUCCUGGACCCAAAAGCCACUCUCCUCAGGCCCUUCCUCCUAGUCCCACCAGCCAAAAAACUUGGGGACCCCAAACCUGUUCUUCACUCUCUGGCACCUGUGCUCAUGUGCCUGCUGCCUCAGGAAAGGACAGAAACCCUCCCCGAUCCAAGUUAUUAGCAAACUGCCCAUCUCCACAAAAAUUUAAAUGGACAGAUUGUUAAAUGCACACAGCUCACAGCCAGCUCCUUUCAAGGUAGAUUUGGGCCCAAACAUUUCGGGAAGCAUCAGGAGAUGUCCCCAAAUCCCGAAAUGUGGUUUGAGUCCCAGUCCCUCAUCUCUCCAGCCUCCAAGCCCUCACCUAUGCAAUGGUGCCUUGCCCGGCUCACAGGUUAUGAAAAGGGGUGAGACGAGACAGUGUCCCCUAAAUACAUCUGACAGCACUUUUGAAUGGAAAAGAGAAAAAGAAAA